GACGUAGGGCGCGAGCGUUUGUCCGGAUUUAUUGGGCGUAAAGAGCUCGUAGGCGGCUUGUCGCGUCGUCCGUGAAAACCUGCGGCUCAACUGCAGGCUGGCGGUCGAUACGGGCAGGCUGGAGUUCGGUAGGGGAGACUGGAAUUCCUGGUGUAGCGGUGAAAUGCGCAGAUAUCAGGAGGAACACCUAUGGCGAAGGCAGCUCGCUGGGACGUUACUGACGCUGAGACGCGAAAGCGUGGGGGAGCAAACAGG
rnacentral:rRNA from 1 species